UUAGCGGCGGACGGGUGAGUAACACGUGGGUAACCUGCCCAUAAGACUGGGAUAACUCCGGGAAACCGGGGCUAAUACCGGAUAACAUUUUGAACUGCAUGGUUCGAAAUUGAAAGGCGGCUUCGGCUGUCACUUAUGGAUGGACCCGCGUCGCAUUAGCUAGUUGGUGAGGUAACGGCUCACCAAGGCAACGAUGCGUAGCCGACCUGAGAGGGUGAUCGGCCACACUGGGACUGAGACACGGCCCAGACUCCUACGGGAGGCAGCAGUAGGGAAUCUUCCGCAAUGGACGAAAGUCUGACGGAGCAACGCCGCGUGAGUGAUGAAGGCUUUCGGGUCGUAAAACUCUGUUGUUAGGGAAGAACAAGUGCUAGUUGAAUAAGCUGGCACCUUGACGGUACCUAACCAGAAAGCCACGGCUAACUACGUGCCAGCAGCCGCGGUAAUACGUAGGUGGCAAGCGUUAUCCGGAAUUAUUGGGCGUAAAGCGCGCGCAGGUGGUUUCUUAAGU
rnacentral:rRNA from 2 species